CUGUUCGCGCCGGGGGAGGUCGGGCCGCGCCUUGGUCGCGGGGCGGCGACCGGUUCGCAGCAGCUCCAGCAGUUCGGGCCCCUGCGCGGUCAGCC
rnacentral:tRNA from 1 species